CCUACGGGAGGCAGCAGUGAGGAAUAUUGGUCAAUGGGCGCGAGCCUGACCCAGCAACGCCGCGUGAAGGAAGAAGGCCCUCGGGUUGUAAACUUCUUUUAUCAGGGACGAAGCAAGUGACGGUACCUGAUGAAUAAGUCACGGCUAACUACGUGCCAGCAGCCGCGGUAAUACGUAGGUGGCAAGCGUUAUCCGGAUUUACUGGGUGUAAAGGGCGGGUAGGCGGGAAGGCAAGUCAGAUGUGAAAACCACGGGCUCAACCUGUGGCCUGCAUUUGAAACUGUUUUUCGUGAGUGCUGGAGAGGCAGACGGAAUUCCUGGUGUAGCGGUGAAAUGCGUAGAUAUGAGGAGGAACACCAGUGGCGAAGGCGGUCUGCUGGACAGCAACUGACGCUGAGGCGCGAAAGCGUGGGGAGCAAACAGGAUUAGAUACCCUUGUAGUC
rnacentral:rRNA from 1 species